rnacentral:lncRNA from 10 species
AGACCAGCCUGGCCAACAUGGUGAAACCCCAUCUCUACUAAAAAUACAAAAGAUUAGCCAGGCGUGGUGGCACGUACCUGUAACCCCACCUACUCAGGAGGCUGAGGCAGGGGAAUUGCUUGAACCCGGGAGGCAGAGGUUUCAGUGAGCCAAGAUUGUGCCACUGCACCCCAGCCUGAGCAACAUAGCAAGACUCUGUCUGAAGAAAAAAAAGCAAUAUAACUAUACAAUGGACUAUUCAGCCACAGAACAGAAUGAAGUACUGAUUCAUGCUAUACCACAGAUGAACCUUAGAAACAGUAUGCUAAAUGAAAGAAGUCAGACACAAAGGGCUACACAUUGUAUGAUUCCAGUCAUUUGGAAAGUCCAGAAUAGACAAAUCCCAUAGAGACAGAAACUAGAUUAGUGGUUGCCAGGGGCUGGGUAGGAGGGUGAGGAAUGAGCAAUGACUACUGAUUGGGUACGGGGUUUCUUUUUUGGGGUGAUGAGAAUGUUCGAUAAUUGAUUGUGGUGACGGUCGCACAAAUUUGUGAGUAUGGUGAGAACCAUUGAAUUGUACACAUUAUUUUUGAGAGACGGGGUCUCACUUUGUCACCUAGGCUGGAGUGUAAUGGCACAAUCAUAGCUCACUGUCACCUCGAACUCCUGUGCUCAAAUGAUCCAUCCUCCUGCCUUGGCCUCCCAAGCAGCUAGAACCACAGGUAUGCACCACCACACACAGCUAAUUUUUUAAAUUAUUUUCUUGUAGCAACGGGGUCUUGCCAUCUUGCCCAGGUUGGUCUCAAAUUCCUGGGCUCAAGCAAUCCUCCCGCUUUGGCUUCCCAAAGUGCUGGGAUUAUGCACAGCUGAAUUGUACACUUUAAAAGGGUGAAUUGUAUAUAUGAAUUAUAGCUCGUAUUUUUAAAAGUUUAAAAAUAUGUUGCUUGGGAAAGGACUCUGGGAAGAUGGCAGACAGAGUAGGAAGCACCAGAAAUCUGCCUCCCCACCCAGGCUGUCUGAGGUAACUAUUUUGGAAUUCUGGAGUCUAUUGAAGGUUUGCAACUUCCAGAGGAAAACUUGGAUGGCAAUUUGGACUUUUUCAAUUUUCGCUCUUAGCACAGUAGUAGCUACCCAUCCUGUGGGAGGCGAGUGUGCAUUUGUUCCUGUAGGAGCCUGCACAUAGCCUGUGGGAGCCAGGAUAGGCAAAAAAAGUAUCCUAUCCUCCAAAUAUGAGAUAUCUGUGCUGAUUACUGAACACUGCUUCUGAUCACAGGGGUAUAGACAAAGAAGCAGGGGCCAUUGUUGCAUCUCCCCCAAUUGUUGCAAGUCUCUCCCUCUCCAGGUGAAGUGACGUCCAGGGGACUGAAAGGUCUGGUACGUGUGUCUUUAUCCCAACCCUUCAUUUUUCUCUUUUUCUCCCUUUGGGGGGCAGACAUUAAAGACAAGGACAUUCAAAAGCAACUACAUAUAUGGGGAAAAUUAGAAAGUGGCCACCCACACCCAGAGAAAGGCACAGGCUCAAAAAGACCUGAGAAGACCUUAAGUUUAUACCUCAGUAUGGUCCUUGGCCCAGAGACAGCCUACAACAAUUAAAAAACAAAAACAAAAAACAAUAAACAAAUACAGUAACAAAAAAUAGCAAACCCUGGGGAAAGGGGAGAAUCCAAUUUCCAGAGUUACCACAUUAUCAAACCCAAAUGUAUAAUUUUCAAUGAAAAAAAUCACAAGGCAUACAAAGAAACAGGAAACUAUCCCCAAUCAAAAGCAAAAAUAAACAGAAACUGUCUCUAAAAAAAGACCUGGUGACAGAUCUAUUACACAAAAAAAUUUUAAAACCUGUCUUAAAGGCUGGGUGUGGUGGUUCAUGCCUAUAAUUCCAGCACUUUGGGAGGCCAAGGCAAGAGGAUCACUUGAGGCUGGGAGUUCAAGAGCAGCCUGGGUAACACAGUGAGACCCUGUCUCUUAGAGAAAAAAAAAAAAAAAAGAAGAAGAAGAAUUAAAAAAUAAGCCAGCCAGGUGCAGUGGCCUGUGUCUAUAGUCCUAACUAGCUACUUGGGAUGUUGAGGCAGAAGGCUCACUUUGAGCCCUGGAGUUUGAGGCUGCAGUUAAGCUGUGAUUGCGCCACUGCACUCUAGCCUGUGCGACAGGAGUGAGGCCCUGUCUCAAAAAAAUAAAAUAAAAUAAAAGAGAUGAUCAAAAAACUAAAGGAAGAUAUGGAAAAAGCCAAGAAAAUGAUGUAUAAAGAAAAUGGAAAUAUCAAUAAAGAGAUAGAAAACCUAAAAAGAAACCAAACAAAUUCUGGAGCUGAAAAAUACAAUAACUGAAAUGCAAAAAUUCACUAGCAGGAUUCAAAGGCAGAUUUAAACAAGCAAAAAAAAGAGUAAGUCAAAUUGGAGACAGGACAAUGGAAACUGAGUCUGAAAAACAGAAAGAAAAAAGAUUGAGGAAAAGUGAACAGAGCCUAACGGACCUGUGAAACACCAUCAAGUGGACCAUCAUACACAUUGUGGGAAUUCUAAUGGGCAAGAAAUAGGAAGAGAAAAUAUUUGAAGAAAUAAUGGCUUAAAAGCUUCCCAAGUUCUAUGAGACAUGAAUAUAAACACCCAAGCAGCUCAAUGAACUCCAAGUAGAUGAACUUAAAGAGAGCCACAUUAAGACACAUUUUAAUCAAUCGAAGUUUCUUUUUUUUUUUUUUUUAAGAUGGAGUCUCGCUCUGUCACGCAGGCUGGAGUGCAGUGGCACGAUCUCGGCUCACUGCAAGCUCUGUCUCCCGGGUUCAUGCCAUUCUCCUGCCUCAGCCUCCCGAGUAGCUGGGACUACAGGCGCCCACCACCACGCCCAGCUAAUUUUUUGUAUUUUCAGUCGAGACAGGGUUUCACAGUGUUAGCCAGGAUGGUCUUGAUCUCCUGACCUCGUGAUCCGCCUGCCUCAGCCUCCCAAAGUGCUGGGAUUACAGACGUGAGCCACCGUGCCCAGCCUUUAAUCAAACUUUCUAAAUCCAAAGAGAGAAUCCUGAAAUCAGCAAGAGAGAAGUGAUUUGCCACAUACAAGAUAUUUUUAAUAAGAUUAUCAGCAGAUUUCUCAUCAGAAAGAAUUGGAUGAUAUAGUUAAAGUGCUAAAAAAAAAAUUGUCGACCCAAGAAUCCUAUAUCUGGCAAAACUGUCCUUAAAAAGUGAGGAAGAAAUUUAGACAUUCCUAGAUAAAAGCUGGGAAAGUUCAUUACCACUAGACCUGCCCUACAAGAAAUGCUCAAAGAAGUCCUAGUCCUGCAGGAUGAAAUGAAAGGAGACUAGACAGUAACUUGAAGCCACAUGAAGAAAUAAAGAUCUCAAUAAAGGGUAAAUACAUGGGCAAUUAUAAAAGCUAAUGUUAUUGUAAUAAUAGUCUGUGACGAUACUUUUGGUUUUCUACAUGAUUUGAGAUGAACACAUUAAAAAAAACUAAACACUAGCAUAACUGUAAUUUUGGUUUGUAACUCCAAAUUUUGUAUUCUACGUAAUUUAAGAAACUAAUGUAUUUAAAAGAAUUAGUUUAUGUUUUGGGUCACACAAUGUAAAAAGAUGUAAUUUUGUGACAUCAACCAAAAGGGGUGAGGACACAGCUGUUAGAAGAGUUUGUAUAUGUCACUGAAGCUGGCAUAAAUUUAGUGUUAUAACUUUAGGAUGUUAAAUGUUAUCCCCAUGGUAACCACAGAGAAAAUAGCUAUAGAAUAUACACAAAACAAAGGGAAAUGAAUUUAAAUGUUUCACUACAAAACAACUAAACACAAAAGACAGUAAUGCAGGAAAUGAGGGACAAAAAAGCAGUAAGCCAUAUGGAGAACAAAUAGCAAUACAACAGAAGUUCUUAUCAGUAAUUACUUUAAAUGUAAAUAGAUUACAUUUUCUUUUUUUUAAUUUUUAUUUUUGAGAUGGAGUCUCGCUCUGUAGCCCAGGCUGGAUUGUAGUGGCAUGAUCUCAGCUCCCUACAACCUCCACCUCCUGGGUUC